rnacentral:rRNA from 1 species
AGAGUUUGAUUAUGGCUCAGGAUGAACGCUGGCGGCGUGCCUAAUACAUGCAAGUCGAGCGAGGUAGCUUGCUACCUAGCGGCGAACGGGUGAGUAACACGUAGGUAACCUGCCUUUAAGACUGGGAUACCCGGACGAAAGUUCGGCUAAUACCGGAUAACAACGGAGAUGGCAUCUUCUCCGCUUGAAAGGUGCGUUUGCACCACUUUUAGAUGGACCUGCGGCACAUUAGCUAGUUGGUGAGAUAACAGCCCACCAAGGCGAGGAUGUGUAGCCGACCUGAGAGGGUGACCGGCCACAAUGGGACUGAGACACGGCCCAUACUCCUACGGGAGGCAGCAGUAGGGAGUUUUCGGCAAUGGGCGAAAGCCUGACCGAGCAACGCCGCGUGAGUGAAUGAAGGUCUUCGGAUUGUAAAGCUCUGUUGCGAGGGACGAAACGUACGAUCAGGAAAUGGGUCGUAUUUGACUAUACCUCGCCAGAAAGUGACGGCUAACUACGUGCCAGCCGCGGC